rnacentral:rRNA from 1 species
CGGUUAAGUUAUUAAGGGCGCAUGGUGAAUGCCUUGGCACUAGGAGCCGAUGAAGGACGGGACUAACACCGAUAUGCCUCGGGGAGCUGUAAGUAAGCUUUGAUCCGGGGAUUUCCGAAUGGGGGAACCCAACUUGUUAUGCAAGUUAUCGUUUAGUGAAUCUAUAGCUAAGCGAAGGUAGACGUUGUGAACUGAAACAUCUCAUUAGCAACAGGAGAAGAAAGAAAAAUCGAUUCCGUCAGUAGCGGCGAGCGAACACGGAGGAGCCCAAACCAGAGUGCUUGCACUUUGGGGUUGUAGGACUGCCGUUGUGGAGUUACAAAUUUGUUUAUUAGCAGAAUC